rnacentral:lncRNA from 1 species
AUGUCCAUUCCCUUCAGAAGGAAAGUAUUAGUCACAUGACAUCACAUUCAUAAUUAUCUUCCCUUUGUAUUUAGAUCUUUCUCUGGAAUUAAAGGUCUCCAGCUGAAAGUUAACCUCCAACCCAAUGACAAUUACUUCUUCUAUGUGAGAGCCAUCAAUGCAUUCGGGACAAGUGAGCAGAGUGAAGCUGCCCUCAUCUCCACCAGAGGAACUAGAUUUCUCUUACUGAGAGAAACAGCUCACCCAGCUCUCCAGAUCUCCUCGAAUGGGAUGGUGAUCAGCUUCUCAGAGAGGAG